UUACCGAGUGAGGGCCCUCUGGGUCCAACCUCCCACCCAUGUUUAUUGUACCUUGUUGCUUCGGCGGGCCCGCCUCACGGCCGCCGGGGGGCUUCUGCCCUCUGGCCCGCGCCCGCCGAAGACACCAUUGAACACUGUCUGAAGAUUGCAGUCUGAGCAAUUAGCUAAAUAAGUUAAAACUUUCAACAACGGAUCUCUUGGUUCCGGCAUCGAUGAAGAACGCAGCGAAAUGCGAUACGUAAUGUGAAUUGCAGAAUUCAGUGAAUCAUCGAGUCUUUGAACGCACAUUGCGCCCCUUGGUAUUCCGGGGGGCAUGCCUGUCCGAGCGUCAUUGCUGCCCUCAAGCACGGCUUGUGUGUUGGACCCCGUCCUCCUUCCCGGGGGACGGGCCCGAAAGGCAGCGGCGGCACCGCGUCCGGUCCUCGAGCGUAUGGGGCUUUGUCACCCGCUCUUGUAGGCCCGGCCGGCGCUUGCCGACAACCAUCAAUCUUUUUUCAGGUUGACCUCGGAUCAGGUAGGGAUACCCGCUGAACUUAAGCAUAUCAAUAAGCGGAGGAAAAGAAACCAACAGGGAUUGCCUCAGUAACGGCGAGUGAAGCGGCAAGAGCUCAAAUUUGAAAGCUGGCCCCCUCGGGGUCCGCAUUGUAAUUUGCAGAGGAUGCUUCGGGAGUGGCCCCCAUCUAAGUGCUCUGGAACGGGCCGUCAUAGAGGGUGAGAAUCCCGUAUGGGGAUGGGGUGUCCGCGACCAUGUGAGCUCCUUCGACGAGUCGAGUUGUUUGGGA
rnacentral:rRNA from 1 species